CCCCCCCCUCCUCCUCCGUUUUUUUCUUGGCCUUUCCACCAUCGAUAGAAGUUACUUGAUCGUUUCCUCGACUCAGCCAACUUUUAUGUUUAUUUUGGUCGCGUGAGAGGACGGAGUAGCAACAAGAGCGAGGAUGAGCGGGAUAAUUAAAGGAAGGAAGAGAAUGGCUGUGGAAGUAAAGAAAUAGGACGCUACGAAUGGUUUGAGGGAGAGAAAAGAACGGUAGUAAACGGUAGGGAAAGGAAAGUGGUGAGGAGGAGUGGGGAUUAAAAUGAAGGAGAGGGAAGGAAGGAAAGAGGUAGAAAGACAGAGAGGAAAUAAACACUACCAAUGGCUUAAAGGAAAGAAAAAGACGGUAGAGAGUGACGGAGAGGCAAGAACGAACUAAGGGAUGUAAGGAAAAGAAGAAGGAAGAGGAUGACGAAAUGGCUGAAGGGGAAAGAAAUGAUUGGUGAAAACGGUGGAAAAGGCAAGGAGGAAGAAAGGGGAUUAUAGGAAGGAAGAGAAAGGGAAUACAAGAAGAUAGCAACUGGUAAAUACGAAUGGAGUGAGAAAGAAGAAAAGAGCGAUAGUAAAAGAUAGUAAAGGAAAUCAGAAGCUUGAAUAGGCAAAUUAGAGGAGGGUGGGAGAGAGAGAGAGGGAGGGAGGAAGUGGGUGGGAGGUGUUAAGAGAAGAGGAGAAGUGUGUGUGUGUGUGUGUGUGUGACUUGUAUACAUCCUAAGAUUUCUACCAGCACUACUACUACUACUACUACCACUACUACUCAAGGCCUCCGUGUGACCUCCCUCUUCCGUGCCAGACUCCGAUAUCGACUCGUCUGACCGUCCUCGCCCUCCCUCCCUCCCCUCCUCUAACACUCUUCCCUUCAUUUCCUCUCUCCCCUCGCUCUCAUUCUUCGGCGACUCGCUUUCCUCCUUCCUUGUUCCCCUGUCGAGCUGCAGCGUUUAAUCAGGCGAAGAGGAGGAAAUGCGACACUAAAUAUUUAUGGAGGCGGAGCUAUUUUAUGCAGACGCCUAUUAUUAGCUUUGGACAGGAAGGGAAUAGUAUGUACAUGACAGAUUGUGAAUAUAUACACACACAUAUUUUUUGGAGCUAUUUCCAGACGCCUUUCCUUUCCUCUCCUCAGGUAUACGAUGUUGAUAUAAUUAGAUGCAGUGUUGUUAUUAUUAAUCGUUAAAUAUUAUGAUGCUUGUAGAGUUUAAUUUUGCGAGGAAAGGAAAUAAGAAAGAGAGGGAAGGACAGAGAGAUGGAGAAGGAAGGAAAAGAAAGGAGGGAAAGAGAAAGGACAAGGAUGGGGAAGGAAAGAGAGGAGGGAGGGAUGGAAGGUCAAGGAGGGAUAGAGGGAAGGGCAGAGGGAGGGGGAAGAAAAGGAAAGGAAAGGAGGGAAGGAUGGACAGUGGAUGCGUGGAGGAUGUGGAUGGAGUGGAUGGUCGGGUAAUGCUAGAGUGGAUGAAAUAUAGAUAGACGGCCUGUUAUAUGGAUGUAGUGUGGAGUCUUUGAGGGUAAUCUAAAAAAAAAAAUGUGUGGCUUGCUUGGAUGAUGAAUACCGAGAAGUGGAUAUAAGGUGUGGUGGAGGGCCAGGGUGGAAGUAGCCAUUUUGGAGGACCCGCUAAAUGGAAGGGAUGUGGAGUGUUGGAAGAUGGGCGUCUGGAUGCUGGGAUGGAGAGGGAGAGAGUCUUGGGAUGUGGCAGGAAACGAGGCUCAGAAGGGAUGUGGAGUAUCUCAAGAUGGGGGUCUGGAUAUUAGUAUGGAAAGAGAGAGUGUGUGUAUGAGAUGUGUCAGUCAGGUGUGUGUAAGGGCUGGCGCUAGGCUGUUGUUUGGCCCAGGAGGCGGACACAUCGUUAAGGACAGGACCUUCAUUCUUCAGGUAGCGACUUAGCAGAUGUGCGUGCCGAUACACAAGGGCUCAGCAGGCAGGGAAAAGUUUCACUUAUUCUUGGCUACGCGACGGGGAGGGAGGGAAGGAAGGAUAGAGGGAUGGAAAGGGACAGAGGAAGGAAGGAAGGAGGGAUAGGACAGAAGGAGAGGGAAAGAAAGGAAGGGAGGGAGGGCACGAUGGGUAAAGGGAAAAGCAGAGGAAUAGGGAAGGAAGCAAAGGAAAGGAAGGAGGAAAGGACAGAGAUAGAGGAAGGAAGCAAAGGAAGGAAAAAGAAAGGAAAGGAAGGAGGGAGGGAUAGAGGGUUGGAAGGAACAGAAAGACAAAGGGAUGGGGAAGGAAGAAAGGGAAAGGAAAGGAGAAAGGGAGGGACAGAGGAAAGGACGAGGAGGGAGGGAUGAAGUAGCGGCGACCGUCUCCCUUGUUUCUGGGGGAAGACAAAGCAAUAACAGUCACCACGAGGGAAACUUUAGCUGUUCCUCAGACUUUUUGCCUCGUCUAUACUUUCCCGAGCGGCGGAGGUUUGGGUGAGGGCUACGGUGCUGCGGGUCUGUCUGUCCGUCUGUCUGUCCUCGCGAAGGCUUCACCGAGCACGCCUUCCUACUGCCCAUCUUCGACCCAGCCACUGUUAUUGGCGUGUGAAGUGUGUCCACGGGUGUCACAUGGCGUGGCCCUCUCCCCCCGGCCGGCCAGAAUCACGGCUACUCCUGCCACCCCCACGUUAGGCUGUCUCGCGGGCUGAAGGGUAUUGUAGUCCUCCCCUGACAGGCCCUCCGUUCGCCUAGGGCCGCCGCCGCCUGGAACCACCACCAUCACCGCCACCGCCAGUCCUUCCCCCGCCGCCGUCCACGUCCCAGCCCGGGUACCACGAGCCACGCGGCGGGACAGGUGGCAACAAACAGGUCAGGUGAGGCGGCGGCGGGUCCGGUGCCUCCUCGUUAUUUAUGUGUCGUUUUUGCCUCCCCCCUCGACCUUUGCUUGGCUAAACGGCUUUGUCUGAUCCCCGUCGCGGCGCCCCCGUCUUGCAGGGCUGCUGGCGGCGGGUAGCACAGCCUCGCCUCCGCUGAUCCGCACAGUUUAUUUGCAGCAGGUGCAUUGCCCUUCUGGGAGACGACGGGGAGCUGGGGUAGCUGGCUGGCUGGGCGGAAGGGGGGUAGGGGGGCCGCAGGCUGGCUGGCUGUUUGACAUUUUUCAGCCGUGAGAGCCGGGAUGCAGAAAACAAAAUGGCGGCGGGUGUGCAUUCGCAGGUGUGGCCGGGGAGUUGCGAGGCCAGAGUGGCUGCAUUCUCGAUUGAUUUUUAUGGCCCUGUUUUGCUCUUUUGCCGCCGUGUUCCUUUGUUUGGCGAGGGUGUCAGGCCGGCAUCUGUCAGCCGCCGCGCCGCCGGGAGUCAACCAUGCACAGGCGCGCCGCAGAGACGACCGAGCGAGUAUUUCCUGCAGACGAGACACAGACAGAAGCUGCUGCACCCUUCCCUGCCCGGCCGCCUCCCUCCUCUCCCGGCCUGUCUCCUGCACCUCUAUUCUGGCUCCGCGAUAACCUGGCACUGAUAAUGGCGGCGCUAGGCAAGCACACACACACACACAGACAGACACACACACACCACGACGCAUCUCUCCUCUCCCGUUCCUCCUCCUCCUCCUCCUCCUUCUCACCCUUGAAACGUCUCCUAUCCUCACCUCUCUUCUCUCCCUCACACAGUUGACAUCACCCUCUCCCUUCCUUUUUCCUCCAAACCGUGGCCUUUCUCCUCCCUCCCUCCCUUCCUUCCUCUCUCUACUUCCUUCCUCCCUCCCUCCCACCUCUCUCAACUCUCUGCCUUUCAUGUAAAAAAUAAAGUUUUCUCUCACCCUUUUCUUCACGGCCCAUUCAGACAGCCUUGCAUCUCCCCUUACGAAGACUGCUCUCUCUCUCUCUCUCUCUCUCUCUCUCUCUCUCUCUCUCUGAUGUGUCUAGCUACAGUUUUGGUCCCUUAGAAAACUGGAAACUGAGAAUGAGGGGAGGAAGAAGAUUGGAGAAGAGUAGGAAUAGGAGGGAGCAGAGGAGCCGGAGGAGGAUGAAUAUGAAGAAGAGGAUGAUGAGGAGGAGGAGGAGCAAGAGGAAUAAAAGGAAAGAAAAAAAAGCAAAAAAAAUGUAAACAAAUAAGGAAAAGGCGAGGAACAGCAAAUAGGAGGAGGAGGAGGAGGAGGAAGAUGAUAAAGAGGAGUAAGAGGAGGAAGAAGAUACGAAUAAAAGCAAGAAAGGAGGAGAGAGGAAUAGGAGGAUGAGGAGAAAGAGAGAAAAAGAAGAGCUAGAAAAAUAUGACCAGAACGAAAAAGAAGAACACCAAGGAGGAAGAGGAGGAGGAGGAGGCAAGUCACAAAGGAAAAAGAGGAACAAGAGGAUGAAGAGGAUAAGAUAAAAACGAAGAUUAAAUAAAAAUAGAAGAAAAAAAACGAAGAAUACCAAGACGGCUGAGGACAAGGAGGAGAAGAAAGGAGGAAAAGGAGAGCAAGAAAGGAGGAGACAGAGAGAAGAGGAUGAGGAUGGAGAGAGAAAAAAAACAAGCAGGAAAAAGAUGAAGAGGACGAAAAGAUGAAGAAUGCCAAGCCAACUAUGGAGGAGGAAGAGAAGACCGAGGAGGAGGAGGAGUCUACCAGCACGUGAGGCGGUGGUCGGUCGGAAGGUCGGGUACACACACCACUGGACUCACGGGCUAGCGCAGUGACCUUUGUGGGCGGUGAUAAGCGUGAGUGUUUGCGAUGCUGGUGGUGGUGGUGGUGGUCCGGCUUGGCUCCUUCCUCCUCCCUUACGUAACACUAAACCAACACCACCACCAUCACUACCACCACCGACCCUUGCUCUCUCUCUCUCUCUCUCUCUCUCUCUCUCUCUCUUGUGUACCCAUCUAUCUAUCUACGUGUGAGGGAAUGUAACAUGGAUAGUAGUAGUAGUAGUAGUAGUAGUAGUAGUAGUGUAGACAAAGACGUAGUGAAUCUGCAGAGAGAGAGAGAGAGAGAGAGAGAGAGAGAGAGAGAGAGAGAGAGAGAGAGAGAGAGAGAGAGAGAGAGAGAA